rnacentral:rRNA from 1 species
UAGGGAAUCUUCCACAAUGGACGAAAGUCUGAUGGAGCAACGCCGCGUGAGUGAUGAAGGGUUUCGGCUCGUAAAACUCUGUUGUUGGAGAAGAACGGGUGUCAGAGUAACUGUUGACAUCGUGACGGUAUCCAACCAGAAAGCCACGGCUAACUACGUGCCAGCAGCCGCGGUAAUACGUAGGUGGCAAGCGUUGUCCGGAUUUAUUGGGCGUAAAGCGAGCGCAGGCGGUUUUUUAGGUCUGAUGUGAAAGCCUUCGGCUUAACCGGAGAAGUGCAUCGGAAACCGGGAGACUUGAGUGCAGAAGAGGACAGUGGAACUCCAUGUGUAGCGGUGAAAUGCGUAGAUAUAUGGAAGAACACCAGUGGCGAAGGCGGCUGUCUGGUCUGCAACUGACGCUGAGGCUCGAAAGCAUGGGUAGCGAACAGGAUUAGAUACCCUGGUAGUCCAUGCCGUAAACGAUGAGUGCUAAGUGUUGGAGGGUUUCCGCCCUUCAGUGCUGCAGCUAACGCAUUAA